rnacentral:rRNA from 1 species
GGGGAAUUUUGGACAAUGGGCGAAAGCCUGAUCCAGCCAUGCCGCGUGCGGGAAGAAGGCCUUCGGGUUGUAAACCGCUUUUGUCAGGGAAGAAACGUCUUGGGCUAAUACCCCGAGAUAAUGACGGUACCUGAAGAAUAAGCACCGGCUAACUACGUGCCAGCAGCCGCGGUAAUACGUAGGGUGCAAGCGUUAAUCGGAAUUACUGGGCGUAAAGCGUGCGCAGGCGGUCGUGCAAGACAGAUGUGAAAUCCCCGGGAUUAACCUGGGAACUGCAUUUGUGACUGCACGGCUGGAGUGCGGCAGAGGGGGAUGGAAUUCCGCGUGUAGCAGUGAAAUGCGUAGAUAUGCGGAGGAACACCGAUGGCGAAGGCAAUCCCCUGGGCCUGCACUGACGCUCAUGCACGAAAGCGUGGAGAGCAAAC